rnacentral:rRNA from 1 species
GACGAACGCUGGCGGCGUGCUUAACACAUGCAAGUCGAGCGGAGCGUCGAACGGGUGAGUAUCGCGUCAGUAACUGCCCCCCUCUCUGGGAUAACAGUUGGAAACGGCUGCUAAUACCGGAUAGUGGGUGAUGUCUCGCGGCUUAUCUGCUUGUUGGUGGGGUAGUGGCCUACCAAGGCGACGACGGGUAGCCGGCCUUCGCGGGCGACCGGCCACAUUUGGCUGAGAUACGGACCAAAGUCCUACGGGAGGCAGCAGUGGGGAAUAGUGCACAAUGGGGGAAACCGUGAUGCAGCAACGCCGCGUGCGGGAUGACGGCCUUCGGGUUGUAAACCGCUUUCAGCCAUGACGCGGUAGGGGAAGAAGAAGCACCGGCUAACUACGUGCCAGCAGCCGCGGUAAUAG